AAAUGCUGCAGGUCCUUGCAAGCACAGAGCUCCUCCCCUAACCAAGUGGGGCCUUCCCCAAUGCUGCAACUAGGUUUAAAAUUGCUCCAUCCUUAGUGACUCGUGAACGCAUGAAUGGUCAUAGGCGAAGCAGAGUAGGGAUGCGAAUUUUAAGUCAUUGAGGCGCUCUACCAUUUUGAUUUGUGCUAUUGCCGGCAAUAAUCUCAUCAAGUUUCAACCAAUCGUCGUCUCAGUGAUUCCAGAGGGUUAUGGUGAUGUCUUCUGUCUGAGUGUAUUCUUCUGAAGAUUGCGUCGGCGGAGGGAUAAGAUCCUCCCGAUUUUAGCAGAUGUAACAGUCCGUGAUAUAAUUCCGGGUUUAUCUGAAGUGUCGAGUCUUGAGAAGAAAUGCUACUGAAGGAUCCGAGUCUCAAGACAUUCGAGAUUUGCUUUAUACUGCAGUGGUCACGUUUGUUACUCUGCGUCCUGUCAAUUUUUGUAUAGAUAUAAAUAGUCUUCUAUUUUUAACCUGGAAUCCGUGAAAUUACCAGUUCUUGUUGUAAUUGGCGCUGCUAACUUUGCGAAUUGACGCAAGUGUUCUUGAGGGUGGUGCGAGUAGAGUAUGGACAGACAAUUUGAAGGGGUUUUUCCACUUUCAAUAGCUGCGUCGGAGUCUUUCCAUCACCAUGCAAAAGAAAGAGGACUAGGAAAAGAGUGGAGUUAUGGAGGUGAAAAGCAGAUCAUGCAAGACUGGUCUUGUGCAAAGCGGAAGGCUGGAGAGCGCAUUGCCUUCAUGAAAAUGGUGGGAUAUUUUUCUGAAGGUCAUCCCCGCCUCUGAUCAGGGAGGUGACCAAGCUGCAGAACUGGGAUUAUCGUUUCCACACACAGGCAUCUCUACCCUCUCCGCACGAGACCAUGUCUCGUAAACACUACCCUUCUGUUGUAAUAGUUUCCUUGGGCUCACCACUUGCUUCUUGCGUGGCUCUUUCAAAGGCGAGUCAUAAAUACAGAGUUUGAAGACAUUAAAGGUAUCAUCCACACCAAGAAGCUGCAAUUGAUCACCCACAGAUGUAACUUGAAAUUCCAUAAGUUGUCAUUCACACAACAAUACAGAAUAGGAGGAGAGAGUGGCAACUUCCUUGUAAAGUUCGUCUCCUGAGUGGUAUGCAGCAGGUAAGUUUCUUUCUAAUCAGAUCACUGUCCGUCGGAAUUAUAUCAAUGCCUUGCUUGGUAACAGACUAGUUCAUAAACUUCACUUUUGAUGAGGUAGUAGUCGAUAAUUAUGAAUUGCAGGUGAAGGGUUUGGAAUAUGUAGUUGAGAUCAUUAACUAUCCACUUUUGCGGGAAGAGUAUGUCCUUGGAAUUAGCUUUCAGAAUGUCCAACUCAGUGCAAGUGAACAGCAAAAUGGAAGACUGAAUCAAAACCCACUGAAAUAGUGUGAAGGUGAAGGUUGAGGCUCUGUGUGGUCAAGCAAGUGAAGCCAUUCAACAUGUGUUUUUCAACACCCUCGCUACGUGGGUAAGGUGAAUGUUUAGAACAAUUCACAGAAAGUGGAUCUUAUGGAGUUGAUGUGUCGUCUAGGAGACAAGUGUUCAGCAGCUGCAACUUGUUCCAUGUGCUCAACAGAUUCCGGACAAGGAGACCCUUCAAUUGGGUGAAUAUGAUACAGACUUCAUCAGCAGUAGCUAUGGUGGCACCAUUUGGAACUAUUCGCUUGAAGACACCGCAGAUCCUCAACAUCCAUAUUUUAUUCCCGAGUGGCUCGAUCUCUCCCGCCUCCCAGUAAGCGUGUUGCACCACCAGACCUUCUACUUGGAUUCAGAUCCUGCUUUUUUUUAGAUUCUUCGCAGUUUGAUGAAUGAAACCUGUCUGAAAAAAAACGUUUUCGCUACCAUCUCCAGUGCGUCCUGCACUACUAGACCUAUCUAAAGCCCAUCAUGGUCAAGGCAAGCAUUAGAUUAAUAAACAAAUAAUCAAAAAACGAUAUUCUUAACACCCCAUUUCUUCAGAAAGCCUACAUAGUUUCCAAAACUGUAGCUGUCUCCAUCUACACAGUUGUCUAAAGCAGAACAACAGCUGUAUUUUGUUCUGAUUUAAGUCAAGCCUUCUAUUUGUGACUUGAUUAAUCUUUUUCCCAAAGCCAUGGUUUCUCCAUUUUUCUGUUGAUUUACCUUUCACCCAAACAGUGGUUUUGUUGCUUGUGUUGUGUUCUUCAUUAGACAUUUAAGGAGGAAGAGUAACUCUGCAUCAGACUUAAUCAGGGCUGCCUUGUACCUCAGCGAUAGAAGCUAUUGCAUCAUCCACGUAGGCUUUUGUAAUGAGGCUGACGUGGUUCAAUAUUGUCGACACGUCAGAUGCUCCUUUGAUGAUAAUGUGUUGCUUUUCACAGACCUUUGGGAUGUUCAAUUCCACUCGCUAAUGUUUGAUAAAAGCUCCUUUUUUUUGUUUUUCC